UUGGGAAUAUUGGACAAUGGGGGAAACCCUGAUCCAGCAAUGCCGCGUGGGUGAUGAAGGCCUUCGGGUUGUAAAGCCCUUUUGGCGGGGACGAUGAUGACGGUACCCGCAGAAUAAGCCCCGGCUAACUUCGUGCCAGCAGCCGCGGUAAUACGAAGGGGGCUAGCGUUGUUCGGAAUUACUGGGCGUAAAGGGCGCGUAGGCGGCCGUGCAAGUCAGAUGUGAAAGCCCUGGGCUCAACCCAGGAGGUGCAUUUGAUACUGCAUGGCUAGAGUGUCGGAGAGGAUGGUGGAAUUCCCAGUGUAGAGGUGAAAUUCGUAGAUAUUGGGAAGAACACCGGUGGCGAAGGCGACCAUCUGGACGACAACCGACGCUGAGGCGCGAAAGCGUGGGGAGCAAACAGGAUUAGAUACCCUGGUAGUCCACGCCGUAAACUAUGCGUGUUGGACGUUGGCGAGCCUAGCUCGUCGGUGUCGCAGCUAACGCGUUAAACACGCCGCCUGGGGAGUACGGCCGCAAGGUUA
rnacentral:rRNA from 1 species